UGGGGAAUCUUGCGCAAUGGGCGAAAGCCUGACGCAGCAACGCCGCGUGGAGGAUGAAGGCCCUUGGGUUGUAAACUCCUGUCGGCUGGGAAGAAGUUGUUCGCGACUAAUACUCGCGGACAUUGACUGUACCAGCAAACGAAGCCCCGGCUAACUCUGUGCCAGCAGCCGCGGUAAUACAGAGGGGGCCAGCGUUAUUCGGAAUUAUUGGGCGUAAAGGGCGCGUAGGCGGCCAUGCGUGUCUUCCGUGAAAUCCCUCGGCUUAACCGAGGACGUGCGGAAGAAACUGCAAGGCUCGAGUCCGGAAGAGGGGGGCGGAAUUCCCAGUGUAGCGGUGAAAUGCGUAGAUAUUGGGAGGAACACCGGUGGCGAAGGCGGCUACCUGGACCGGUUCUGACGCUGAGGCGCGAAAGCGUGGGUAGCAAAC
rnacentral:rRNA from 1 species